GGAAGACUGUAAACAGUAAGAGGUGCACAUUUCUUCGCCCAGCACCAAUCACUGAGCUAGCAAGCUGAAGUUAGCUAGUGAGUCACAGAAAUGUACUUUCAGCCUGUUAAUUAUUUCAGUCCGAUUGGAUUUAUUUUACUAAACCAGCAUGGCUUAACAUGGAUAGAUAAUCUGAUAGCUAGCAUGCUAGCGCUAACGACGCUAGGUAACCUAUGUGGAUGCUUCCAUCUAGUUCCCAAGAGUAGCAGACCGCUACGCUAAAUCUGCCAACCAGGCUCGGUGGGUGACAGGUAACCAUGUUUCCACCAAGCUGUUCCAGGCCUGCAGUGGUAUGCUGGAACCUCCAGAGGCUUGUAGACCUCAAGCAGUGUGAUGUGGUCCAGGUCUGACACCCUUAUUAGCUCAACCACAGCCCUCACAGCUGCAGUCGUCUGCCCCUGCACCUGCUACACCGGCCGCGAUAGGUGAUACAGGUUAUUGUAUACACGCAUGCAUACUCUCCCUCACUUGGGGCUCUAUUCAAUCACAUACACUUUAGCCGACAUCCGCAUAGUGAUUGUUUUGGCAGUGUCUGAGGUGGAACUGUGUUAGAGCUGUCAAAUCCACAAGUGACUCCUGGCAUUAUACUUAAAGCGGACAUUGCCAUUGGCUGCACAGAGUCGCAUUAACAGAAAUCUCAUGGAGCCCUGUUUACAUGUUUGAACAGCUGUUUACAUGUUUGAACACCUGUUGUAUUCGCCGCAUGUGGAAAAUACAUUUUGAUUUGAUUUGUAAUCUACACCUUGAUUAGGCUGAUAGAAAUCCUCAUUAUUUAAUUUAAUGAUUUUGAAUUUGAAUGUAAUUUUUUCUAUACACUUUCUCGUUCUGAACUUGUAACCCGAGUAGGACGGUGUAGUAUCGUGACAAUGAUCAAGAGCAGCUGCUUACCGAUUUGACAGAUCCAACGCAGUUACACCUCAGACACUGCCAAAACAUCAGCUAUUUGGGUGUCGGCUAUUGCCGGUUAACACUUGAUCUGAUUGAAUCUAGGCUUUACACUCAUUAAUUCUCUUUAGUUGUAUGAUUGUCAGGUAAGAAAAUGGUGCCUCUCUUUUAGAUCUGCCACCACCAGCAGUUCAGCUACAGUCACAGUAGUCCUCUGCUGUGGUAUUUAAUUUACUGGCUGCACCAGUUCCUACUACACUGGCUGUGAAGGGAGAAACUUUUGAGGAUUCCCAGAUGGAUACAUGUAAUUCAGAAUUAUAUUACAUACACAUACGCUCACUCACACCAACAGAUGUGCACACACACACGUUGUUGAACUGUAUAAUUACUGUCACUUACUCCACCACUGCCCGACAGCCUCAACCAGAAGUGCAUACACUGGGCCUAUCAAGACUGACAAAGCAGAGAUGGGUGGCUGACAAGGAAAAAUAAAACACAACAUGCACACACAUUCUCUCUCUCUGUCACACACACACAUUAUCCCCAAUGUAAAUCAAUUGUAAUUACUUGUUUAUUUUAUGUAUGCUCCAUUUUAUUUGAGGAUUGUGCGCAAUAAAGUACAUUCACAGUUAAA